AUUAUUCGGCAGUCUGCCGCUAUUACCACCAACCAGGUGAUCAAAAGUACGCCCAGUACUCCAAAAUUAUUCGGCACCCUACCACUAUUAUCACCAACCAGGUGAUCAAAAGUACGCCCAGUACUCCAAAAUUAUUCGCAGCCUGCUGCUAUUAUCACCAACCAGGUGAUCAAAAGUACGUCCAGUACUCCAAAAUUAUACAUGAGCGUCACUUAUGUCAAUCAUACAUAAACAUUCAUGACCAUCAUUCAUGUCAACAUUCAUAAGCAUUACUUAUGUCAACAUUCAUAAGCAUCACUCAUGUCAACAUCCAUGAGCAUCACUCAUGCCAAUCAACACAAAACAUUCAUAAGCAUCACUCAUGUCAAUCAGCUUCAAAAGCUUCAUUUACAGAGCUUAAACUUCGAGAGCUCCAUCUUCACAAAAUUUCAUUUACAAAGCUCCAGCUUCAAAAGCUUCACUUGCAAAGCUUCACCUACAAAGCUUCAGUGCAAGGUAUACAAAUACCACCUCCGAACAACCGCCACUUCGACCCAUACAUGGAUUCAAUUUGAAGUCUCCAGCCAACAGACUCUAUUAACCAAAGACUUGGGGAACUACAUUAUGUACCAUAUAUUGGGCCUCAUGAAAAAUACUUAGGGGACUUAGCCCAUUAUUUAUGUACUGAGGAGUGAACCCUUAUUCUAUACUGGGCCUCACGUAUUAAAAAUUAUAAAAACCAUAAUUUUUAGGGACGGGCUAUCACAAUCUACCCUCCUUAAAAAAAUUUCGUCCCCGAAAUUUAAAAUCAUUGCUAUACAAAACUCGAAGAUAUGAGUAUAAGACAUAUAUACGUAAAGCAGAAAUCAAGUUAGAACGUUUGUACAAAAGAAAAAAUGACAUCCCGACGCGGUCGGAAUGUAAUUAUUUCUCCUUCAUGCCUCCAAGUUCAUACUUUCUUCCUUCCUCGAUAAUAUAGUGGUAUAAUACCCAUAUAAAUAAAAUAAUGUAGUAAGAAAAUAUUUACACGAAAUAAAUCAAAGCCCAAAAUGAAAUGGACCUCACUAAACAUUUGUUGUGUAACGAACAUCGAAAACGAGUCUGAACCAUAGUUAACUAGUAAAUGUCGCUAUAGAUGAGCGGUCUUGCCCACUGGCUUAGUGAAUUUCAUAAUUAAACCAUCAAUAUUUCAGUUUGCAGCUUGUAAUGCCGUUAACUUAUAGCCGUCUCAAUAUGUUAGUGAGAAGUUCCCGAGAAUGACAGAAUAUCAUUUUGCUCCUCAUGUACGCAUAUACCUAGAUCGUUCGAUUUAUGCCUCGACCGUGAUCCCGAAUCAUCCUAGAGCAAGCUAAAACAAUUGCUAAAAAUGUUUCGACGUCCACGUUCCCACAACUUAAAGUUGUUUAGAAUUCAUUUUGGUAAGUCUAGAAAACUUGCAAUAAGAUUAUAUUUCAAUGGUUCUUGCUAGCAUUGAUAUGAAAGUGGUGCAAGCACCCGCCAAGUCUAUCUAUCAUGAAUUCCUCACACAUUGAACGAGAAAUCAUGUCGAGAAGGUUAAAAGAACAAUAAAGAAUGUGAGAGUCAAAACAAGUUCAUGAAAUCUAGAGUACAAGAUAUCUGAAUUGAAUAUGCAAUUUCAAUA
rnacentral:lncRNA from 1 species